CGUAACAGAUGCUUGCAUAUGCUUCGCAAAUAGUUUUUGUACAUAUUCAUUAGUUGCAUUUGAAACCGGCGUUUAAAAUCGUCCGGAAUAUUUGCUUGACUUGUUUUAAGGGAUUUGUACUGCUCUAAAAUAGACAAAUAAUUGCAAUUUGCAUUUUACGAGUUUAAUUUGAUUCUGUGCCUUGUCGGCAUGUCGAAUGCUUCACUUAAAUUGUGAACAAAUUUUCGGCGGCAAAUUUUAAUAGCAAGUUUUAAAUCACAUGUGAAAAGUUAACAAAAAUUACAGCUAGAACUAAAUAUUAGUAAUACUGUAUUGUUUUUUAAGUUCGCACGUUUUGAACAACAACAACAAAAUUCUGUGUGUCGGUCAAAAUACUUAAUCAAAAUCGAAAAAAAAUUAUGUCGGUCAAAAUACUCAAUCAAAACCGAAAAUUAGUUUAAUGAAUGCAAUAAAAAACUUUUUCGCGACGUCUCAUAUAAAGGCUGAAUUCCUAUAUACCAUAUUAUUUAUUUGGCAACCUGGUCAAAAGUUAUCAUAACAUGUUAAACAAAUAGCAAUAUUUAGUUAUGUUCUUUUUUUUAAAUUUAACUUUUGACGGGUUUAUAAAAACAACUGGUAAGUCCAAUUAUUAGCGUUUAAAUGUUAACUCAAUUUUCCAGACUUUAGUAUUAUUUUGCAUUUCUAGUUCAAAUAAUUGCACUGUUUUAUAUAAACAAAUGUGACUUAGUACCAGACUUGAAACGAUAAAGUCACUGAAAAACUAUCACGAGACUUUUUUUAAUAUUAAAAAGAUAUCACUUGUCUAUUAUUUAUUUCCUCUAAAGUCUAAAUAUUUGUAGUUGCGUGCUACUAAAAUAAAAAGUACAUAGCCAGCAUAAGAACAUAAGCAUGUGAAAUACCUAUCGUUAAAUAAAUACUCUCGAAUAUUCUUGCUUAUUUCAAGCUUAAUCUAACUUGAUUUAAACCUUGAUUAGCAAAGUUAAAUUUCUUUGGUUUUCUUUUACUCAGCAGCAAUAUAAAGGAAUUCACGUUUAAUUAUACUCUUAAACACAACGUUGAAUAUAAGAAUUCGAAACCACAGUUUGCGGGAAAAUUUUUUACAGCAUAUUUAAUGGUUUAAAAAAACAUGAAAAAAACGCAAACCAAACGCGUUCACUUGUAAAGUAAUAAAUAGUGUGUUGGUUUACACCAUAAAAACCUCACUAUAAGAUUUCAAUCUUUGUUUAUUUAUUCUUAUGUAACAGAUUAUUUUGUUGAAAGAUAAGACACCAUGCGGGCUGGGAAAGAAGGAUCGCGUUUUAUUUCAGUGCUAGCUAGAGCUAGACUGCUGUUGCUGGCGACAGUAUGAAUGUCUCAAUAUUUGUUUAAGAAAUACUUAGAACAGAACAUCAUUAGAGAGCAUGUUUUCUGAAAACUAGUCUUUACUUAUAUACGAUAGUCUGUUUUUAUUGAAAACAAAUUAAUAUGUCGACUUUCAUCUUGACAAUAAUCUUUGUUUUUAAAGCGGUUGGUUCUGACCAGAGUCCGUAUAUAAACGUAUAUAAACAUGUUUUUUUACUGACUCCGGUUCCGACCAAUGUAUGUGUAACUUGUGAUUUAAAAAUAUUAAAUGCUUCACGAAAAAGGGACGCGAACUAUCUUAUAAAGAUUUUCUCUAUUUAAAUUAAGUCAUUUAGAUUUUAUGCUCGCUGUGUCCUAUAUAUUUUGAAGUGUACAACGCAAGAGUUUCUUACUAUCAUGGCAAGCAGAUACAGCAUUUUCUUUCUAUUUUUGUUUGUACUUUCCGGACAUCUGGUUAAACCGAGAGAGUUCAGUAAACGAAGAACAUUCUUGGUGAGAUGUUACUUUACCUACUGCAGCCAUCAUUGGACAGCAAAGAAUUUACCCUGUGCAGUUGCCCGACACACACGGUUUUGUAAGACCUGCCAGGUUUUAUUAUGCCCGCAUGUGAUUAUGUACAGUUGUUCUUCGUUAUUCUCUGGAUCUCGAUGUUAAUGAAGUUACAUCAACGUUAAAAAUGAAUGUGGAAAUUUGUUAUAUAUCUCAUCCAGUCUUUGUUACGGCAUGUUCAUCCUUUUCGUCUUUUAAUUCGAUUAAGGUUUGACAUUAUGCCUUAUCCUUCAAUUAAAGUGAAACUUUUGUUUUAGAUUUGACCAUAGCUUAAUAAUACAACAUUUCUUUAUUGAACUAUGAUUUGACCAUUGAAACUUUCGUAGCUUCUCAUUAAUGAAUUCACCUUUGAAAUAUGAUGCUGAAUAAAAUGUAUAUAGUUUUGUCA